GCGACCUCAGAUCAGACGUGGCGACCCGCUGAAUUUAAGCAUAUUACUCAGCAGAGGAAAAGAAACUAACGAGGAUUCCCUCAGUAACGGCGAGUGAAGAGGGAAGAGCCCAGCGCCGAAUCCCUGCCCUGCGGUGGGGCGCGGGACAUGUGGCGUACAGAAGCCCCCCUCCCCGGCGGCGCUCUCGGGGGAUCCAAGUCCUUGUGAUCGAGGCCGCAGCCCACGGACGGUGUGCGACCGGUAGCGGCCCCCUGGCGCGCCGGGCCCGGGGCUUCUCGGAGUCGGGUUGCUUGGGAAUGCAGCCCAAAGCGGGUGGUAAAGUCCAUCUAAGGCUAAAUACGGGCACGAGACUGAUAGCCAACAAGUACUGUAAGGGAAAGUUGAAAAGAACUUUGAAGAGAGAGUUUAAGAGGGCGUGAAACCGUUAAGAGGUAAACGGGUGGGGCCCGCGCAGUCCGCCCGGAGGAUUCAACCUGGCGAGUUGCGGUCGGCUGGCGCGGGCCCGGCGGAUCCCUGCCUCCGCCUCCCCUCCAUCCCCCGGGCUCCCGCCCGCGGGGGCGGGCCGGUGGGGGCGGGCCGGCGCCGCCGCAACCGGCUCGGGCCGUGCGGUUAGCGCGGGGGAGGGUCCCUGGGGGGGUCCCCGGGCCGGCACCCCGCCUCGGCCGACGCCUAGCAACCGGUUUAGAACUGGUGCAGAUCAGGGGAAUCCGACUGUUUAAUUAAAACAAAGCAUCACGAAGGCCUGCGGCGGGUGUUGACGCGAUGUGAUUUCUGCCCAGUGCUCUGAAUGUCAAAGUGAAGAAAUUCAAUGAAGCGCGGGUAAAUGGCGGGAGUAACUAUGACUCUCUUAAGUAAGAUGGGCUCUACGUUACUAACUGGGCUUUGCUGCAGAGGUAGCACCUCCUUGUGGUCCCGCCGGGUGCCCGCUAAGGGUAGCCAAGUCGACCUUCUGCCCCAGGCUGGAGGGGUGGUGUUCAGUCACCUUCUCCCUCUGCUGGUCUCGCCACCCAGCAGCAGUAUCAAGUGGCAGAAACCUCUGGCAGCAACGACUCGUUCCGAGCCCGUUGCCAGAGGCCUCGCCCACUGGCCACUGAAAAAUGUUGGGCAAAACCGCAGUUACACUUGAGGGGGUGUGCUGUUGGUUCCGUGUCCCCUCUACCGGACGGCUUCACGCCCUAUCGAGUGGCCUGACCAACCGCACGAUAGUACCUGGUUAUAGGUGGUUUGCGGAGACCAAAAGACCACCUCUGGAGAGGGAUAAACACCGGGUUGCCGGGCAGGGGUUCGUUCGUUAUCGGCCUCUGUACUGUCCUCCAUCCAUGGCUCUUAGCUGCGUGGUAAGGAGUGGGUGGAGACACAAAUCGUUACUGUUUCAGGCUCGGGGAGGUUCCUCUCUCUCUUGGAUGAACGUACACUAUGACUGGGUGCAGGAGAAAGGGACGGUCUCCUGAUUGCACCCAGCGGGUGUGUUCCUCUCCAGGGCAUGGGUUUCGCUUCGUUGUCGGGACCUAACAUCGACCUCUGUAUGCUCCACUACGUUCGCUCCGAACUGCGCCAGCGACGGGCCGGGGGGCAGGGACAUGUCCUUAAUGAGGUUCCCUCAUGCAGGCGCCGGGUAGUAUCUCACUCCAACUGGAGUCGAUGGACACCAUGCCGAUCGGGGGCGUCCCCGGUCGUUGCAGCGGGUGUACAUCACUCUGGGCCCUGACCCACAGGGUGGAUAGCUGGGUAAAAGUCGGCAGAUGCUACGGGGGUAGUGUUGCCUGACUUACGUGACACCCCUACCGGCCGGAUGCGUGCCUCGAUGCCUUAGUCAUGGGCAAGACUGGGUUGUCCUCUAUAGCUGCCACAGGGUCCAUCCUCCGCACUGGUUGCAAUCCGGGAGGUGUCGAGUUACUGUAGUUACACGACAAUACCAGACCCUAGGCUUUGGUACUGGCCGCAUCCCCUUCCGCAGUGGGAAUCUUGUGAUGAUUAUAACAACUCAUUGCGCGAGUCACGGAGGAGGAGACGCGGUGGAUGGGCCACCGUUACUUAACCCGGAAAAGGGACGCACUCCGUGUGUGUUCAAAUACUAGCCAAAUGCCUCGUCAUCUAAUUAAUGACGCGCAUGAAUGGAUGAACGAGAUUCCCACUGUCCCUAUCUACUAUCCAGCGAAACCACAGCCAAGGGAACGGGCUUGGCGGAAUCAGCGGGGAAAGAAGACCCUGUUGAGCUUGACUCUAGUCUGGCGCUGUGAAGAGACAUGAGAGGUGUAGAAUAAGUGGGAGACCGGGCGUCCCGGCCGUCGGUGAAAUACCACUACUCUGAUCGUUUUUUCACUUACCCUGUGAGGCAGGAGGGCGAGCCCCGAGGGGGGCUCCCGCUUCUGGCGCCAAGCACCUGGCACGUGCCGGGCGCGACCCGCUCCAGGGACAGCGACAGGUGGGGAGUUUGACUGGGGCGGUACACCUGUCAAAGCGUAACGCAGGUGUCCUAAGGCGCGCUCAGGGAGGAUGGAAACCUCCCGUGGAGCAGAAGGGCAAAAGCUGGCUUGAUCUUGAUUUUCAGUACGAAUACAGACUGUGAAAGCGGAGCCUCACGAUCCUUCUGGCUUUUUGGGUUUUAAACAGGAGGUGUCAGAAAAGUUACCACAGGGAUAAUUGGCUUGUGGCGGCCAAGGGUUCAUAGCGAUGUCGCUUUUUGAUCCUUCGAUGUCGACUCUUCCCAUCAUUGUGAAGCAGAAUUCACCAAGCGUUGGAUUGUUCAACCACUAAUAGGGAACGUGAGUUGGGUUUAGACCGUCGUGAGACAGGUUAGUUUUACCCUACUGAUGAUGUGUUUUUGCAAUAGUAAUCCUGCUCAUUACGAGAGGAACCGCAGGUUCAGACCCCUGGUGCGUGCCCUUGGCUGAGGAGCCACUGGUGCGAGGCUACCAUCUGCGGGCUUAUGACUGAACACCUCUAAGUCAGAAUCCCGCCUAGACGUAGUGAUACCGCAGCGCCGCCGGCGCCUCUGUGGGCUCGCGAUAGCUGGCCGCUCCGGCGGCCAGUGCAGAGCGCCGCUCGUGGUCGGGAGCCAGAGGGGCGGACGGAUGCGGCGCCGCCUCUCCCCCGUCGCAUACCGCAUGAUCGUGGGGCACCCGGCGCUAAAUCAUUCGUAGACGACCUGAUUCUGGGUCGGGGUUUCAUACGUAGCAGAGCAACUCCCUCGCUGCGAUCUAUUGAGAAUCAGCCCUC
rnacentral:rRNA from 1 species